GGCUCCGUAGUGUAGUGGUUGGCACGUCUGCUUUACACACAGAAGGUCCUGGGUUCGCGCCCCAGAUGGAGCCA
rnacentral:tRNA from 1 species